rnacentral:rRNA from 1 species
UUGGGAAUUUUGCACAAUGGGCGCAAGCCUGAUGCAGCCAUGCCGCGUGUGUGAAGAAGGCCUUCGGGUUGUAAAGCACUUUCAGCGGGGAGGAAGGCGUUAAGGUUAAUAACCUUGGCGAUUGACGUUACCCGCAGAAGAAGCACCGGCUAACUCCGUGCCAGCAGCCGCGGUAAUACGGAGGGUGCAAGCGUUAAUCGGAAUUACUGGGCGUAAAGCGCACGCAGGCGGUCUGUCAAGUCGGAUGUGAAAUCCCCGGGCUCAACCUGGGAACUGCGUUCGAAACUGGCAGGCUAGAGUAUUGUAGAGGGGGGUGGAAUUCCAGGUGUAGCGGUGAAAUGCGUAGAGAUCUGGAGGAAUACCGGUGGCGAAGGCGGCCCCCUGGACAAAGACUGACGCUCAGGUGCGAAAGCGUGGGGAGCAAACAGG